GAUGAUGCCACUAGAAUUAAAAGGAUGUAACCUCUCAUAUUAUUAAACUUGUACUCACGUAUUUUAUUUCAUGUAUAAUCGUGGGAAUUAUUUAUAUACUCGCUCUAUGUGAAAGUAUAAAACUUACAUUUCUCAACCACAAAUAUUCAGCAUAAUAAGAACUUCCUAUGACGAGUAAAAACAAUGCGGACUAUGAACAAUCAACAACCGCCGCCACCGCCGCCGCCGCCACCGCAACCUCCGCCUCCGCCUCCGCCGCCGCCACCACCACCGCCACAAGUGCUGCCACCGCCGCCGCCGCCGCCGCCGUCUGUACUAGAAUGUAUAAUGGCCUCAGCAGUUGUGGCUAAUAUGUUAGCGCUCGCAUCAGCCAUGGCCUUCGUCACAUCAUCCCUGCUACCCCUCUUCUUGGGAGCUCCACCUUGAUAAGCGGGUGGCCGGGCGGCUGUCGCAGUGGGUGGAUUGGCUUUCGUCUUCUUACGGCUUCUACAGGAAAAGCAGCCCAUGACCGGAAUCUCAAGUAGCUUCCGCAGGUUAUAAUGAAAGACGAUACAAUAGCACGAGUCUGUUCAUAGCUCUCUCUCAAUCCCCAAUUUAUAGCCGUCGCUUCGCCCAGAGUUGACGAAGUUAUUAUUAAUGCGAACAACUUCUCAUUAAGAAGAGUCGAAGGG
rnacentral:lncRNA from 1 species